CCAUCGUCUCACUCUCUGAAGCUCUUUCACUGCCGAGCUUAAAGAAAAAUAAUUUUCUUUUUAUCUCCCAAAUCCUCCGCUGUCUAAACCAACAGAUCUUCAUGAACAACAAUUCUCUUCUUCAUCUCUCCAGACUCCAAAUCUGCUAUGUUCGAUGGAGAAGACCAAUUAUCAUCCUCAGUUGAAUUCUCGAACAGUUGAAGCCGGAUUUGGUUAAGUUUCACCUUCACCAACAAUUGAAGGAUCGACUGAUUUCCCAGAAAGAAGAUUUUGGUGUAUGCGUGGUCUGCCAUGGUGGGUAUGAUAUGGUUUUAGAUCUGCCGGACUAUCUUCAUCCAAGCAUGUACCUUUAAAAGAUGUUAAAAAGCUUGAUGUUGAGUUCCAUGUAUCCCUGUGGAACUUUGAGCUUUAUUUACUUUGUUUGUGUGUAUUUGUAGGAAGGAAUGUCGAUGGAAGGGAAAUUAUGGUUCUUGUGAAGUAUGGUCCCAAUGCUCAACGAAUGUAAGCAAAAAUUUCAUAUCUGAGUCUACUAUGACCGAGUUCUCCGUUGUCGUAUAUAAGUAAGGUAGCUAUAAAUUUCCUCAUACUUUAGAAGAACAUAUAGAUAACUGCAUUGUCUGUUAUUUUGACUAGAGAGAGUCAGGAAUGGUCUAGCAGUCGCAGCCAUUGUCGAAGGUAUUGCUGGUUGUAAACUGUUGGAAACAAAGCACUAUAAUCAAAUUACACAAAGAAACCGCUGAGUCGCGUACUAGGUCGCUAUCUUUAAGGUGUUUCGCGACUCUGCCUCUUGAUUGUGCUAG